UUUAGGUCUCCUGAUGAUACCUUUUCCAGUGAUCUUGAAAUCAGUUCUUCAACUGCUUUCAACAAUCGGUCCCAACGUUUGUGGAAUCGUCUUUAUGCCCUCUACAGACAAGCAUUUUCAUCAUUCUUGAGAUUGACAAUUGUGUCAUUCAGAAGAGGAUCAGUUAUCAACACGCUGGACCUUGAAUUUCAAGCAACAAAUAUUCCUAGUGAUCAAAAUAUCGAGAAUGUUUUAAUCAAUGAGGCACCAAGCAUAACUGAAUUCUCAGUGCAAGCGUCAUCGGUUGUUGUUGAUGGCAAUGUAUCAACAACCACGAUCGCACCAACAACAACAGCGGCUCCAACCACAACAACGGCUGCUCCAACCACAACUACGGCUGCUCCAACCACAACAA